rnacentral:rRNA from 1 species
GAUGAACGCUGGCGGCGUGCCUAAUACAUGCAAGUCGAGCGAACGGACGAGAAGCUUGCUUCUCUGAUGUUAGCGGCGGACGGGUGAGUAACACGUGGAUAACCUACCUAUAAGACUGGGAUAACUUCGGGAAACCGGAGCUAAUACCGGAUAAUAUUUUGAACCGCAUGGUUCAAAAGUGAAAGACGGUCUUGCUGUCGCUUAUAGAUGGAUCCGCGCUGCAUUAGCUAGUUGGUAAGGUAACGGCUUACCAAGGCAACGAUGCAUAGCCGACCUGAGAGGGUGAUCGGCCACACUGGAACUGAGACACGGUCCAGACUCCUACGGGAGGCAGCAGUAGGGAAUCUUCCGCAAUGGGCGAAAGCCUGACGGAGCAACGCCGCGUGAGUGAUGAAGGUCUUCGGAUCGUAAAACUCUGUUAUUAGGGAAGAACAUAUGUGUAAGUAACUGUGCACAUCUUGACGGUACCUAAUCAGAAAGCCACGGCUAACUACGUGC